CAGCGCCACGAGUGGGGACCACGUUUAUUGGGUCUAAAGCGUCCGUAGCCGGUUUGAUAAGUCUUUUGUGAAAUUGUUGUGCUUAACAUAACAACGUGCAAGAGAUACUGUCAAACUUGGAACUGGGAGGGGUUAGAGGUAUUCCUUGGGGAGCGGUAAAAUGCUAUAAUCCUUGGAGGACCACCUGUGGCGAAGGCUUCUAACCAGAACAGCUUCGACGGUGAGGGACGAAAGCUAGGGGAGCAAACCGGAUUAGAGACCCGAGUAGUCC
rnacentral:rRNA from 1 species